AGAGUUUGAUCCUGGCUCAGAUUGAACGCUGGCGGCAUGCCUUACACAUGCAAGUCGAACGGCAGCAUGAUCUAGCUUGCUAGAUUGAUGGCGAGUGGCGAACGGGUGAGUAAUACAUCGGAACGUGCCCUGUAGUGGGGGAUAACUAGUCGAAAGAUUAGCUAACACCGCAUACGACCUGAGGGUGAAAGUGGGGGACCGCAAGGCCUCAUGCUAUAGGAGCGGCCGAUGUCUGAUUAGCUAGUUGGUGGGGUAAAGGCCCACCAAGGCGACGAUCAGUAGCUGGUCUGAGAGGACGAUCAGCCACACUGGGACUGAGACACGGCCCAGACUCCUACGGGAGGCAGCAGUGGGGAAUUUUGGACAAUGGGCGAAAGCCUGAUCCAGCAAUGCCGCGUGUGUGAAGAAGGCCUUCGGGUUGUAAAGCACUUUUGUCCGGAAAGAAAUGGCUCUGGUUAAUACCUGGGGUCGAUGACGGUACCGGAAGAAUAAGGACCGGCUGACCACGUGCCAGCAGCCGCGGUAAUAC
rnacentral:rRNA from 1 species